rnacentral:rRNA from 1 species
GACGAACGCUGGCGGCGUGCUUAACACAUGCAAGUCGAACGGAAAGGCCCCUUUUGGGGUACUCGAGUGGCGAACGGGUGAGUAACACGUGAGUAACCUGCCCUUGACUUCGGGAUAACUUCAGGAAACUGGGGCUAAUACCGGAUAGGAAUCCUUGCUGCAUGGUGGGGGUUGGAAAGCUUCGGCGGUUUUGGAUGGACUCGCGGCUUAUCAGCUUGUUGGUGGGGUAGUGGCUUACCAAGGCUUUGACGGGUAGCCGGCCUGAGAGGGCGACCGGCCACAUUGGGACUGAGAUACGGCCCAGACUCCUACGGGAGGCAGAAGGGGGGAAUAUUGAACAAAGGGCGGAAGCCUGAUGCAGGAACGCCGCGGGCGGGAGGACGGCCUUAGGGUUGUAAACCGCUUUCAGCAGGGGCGAAGCUUGUGGUGACGGUACCUGCAGAAGAAGCACCGGCUAACUACGUG